UACAGAGGGUGCAAGCGUUAAUCGGAAUUACUGGGCGUAAAGCGCGCGUAGGUGGUUUGUUAAGUCUGCUGUGAAAUCCCCGGGCUCAACCUGGGAAUGGCAGUGGAUACUGGCAAGCUAGAGUGUGUCAGAGGAUGGUGGAAUUCCCGGUGUAGCGGUGAAAUGCGUAGAGAUCGGGAGGAACAUCAGUGGCGAAGGCGGCCAUCUGGGACAACACUGACGCUGAGGCACGAAAGCUAGGGGAGCGAAUGGG
rnacentral:rRNA from 1 species